AAGCAAACUGCUGAGCACAUCAUCCCGCGCUCCAAUGAGGUCAUUAGGAAGUGAGAGCUUAUAAUUGUCCCAGCAGCCUCUGUUUGCAGUGACCCCCUUCACGGUGCAGCCAGCCCGAGGUCUGUUUUCCCAGCACUCAGCGCAGACGGAGCGCUCCUGACACACUGGCCCAGCACAGUGGCGGUGCUUCAGCUGAGCCCUUUGCUGCCCCAAUGUAUCACCUUUUUCCGGCUCCCUUGAAACGAAGUGACACCAUCUGACUAGUGCCUGGCGCGUGAGACCAGCUCGCAGGGACAAGACAAGGCAGUUUCCUGCAGCUUGAAGCCACUUUGCUGACAAAGAGACACAGGAGCUGGCUGAGAUGAUCUCUGUCUUCAAUGUAUCAUGGACAUCUUCUGCUACACAGGUUGAGACUCCUGAAGAAAUAUUGCCCCUUUGCUCAACCUCAGCUGCAUUUUAAUUCUCUUCAAACAAGAUGUUACAAUA